rnacentral:rRNA from 1 species
CUUGCUCCUGCUGACGAGCGGCGGACGGGUGAGUAACGCGUAGGAAUCUACCUAGUAGAGGGGGACAACAUGUGGAAACGCAUGCUAAUACCGCAUACACCCUAAGGGGGAAAGGAGGGGACUCUUCGGAGCCUUCCGCUAUUAGAUGAGCCUGCGUGAGAUUAGCUACAGCUCGUGUUGUGAAAUGUUGGGUUAAGUCCCGUAACGAGCGCAACCCUUAUCCUUAUUUGCCAGCACUUCGGGUGGGAACUUUAAGGAGACUGCCGGUGACAAACCGGAGGAAGGUGGGGACGACGUCAAGUCAUCAUGGCCCUUACGAGUAGGGCUACACACGUGCUACAAUGGCGUAUACAGAGGGCUGCAAGCUAGCGAUAGUGAGCGAAUCCCACAAAGUACGUCGUAGUCCGGAUUGGAGUCUGCAACUCGACUCCAUGAAGUCGGAAUCGCUAGUAAUCGUGGAUCAGAAUGCCACGGUGAAUACGUUCCCGGGCCUUGUACACACCGCCCGUCACACCAUGGGAGUUGAUUGCUCCAGAAGUAGC